CCUACGGGAGGCAGCAGUGGGGAAUCUUGCGCAAUGGGCGAAAGCCUGACGCAGCAACGCCGCGUGCGGGAAGAAGGCUUUCGGGCUGUAAACCGCUUUCAGCAGGAACGAAAAUGACGGUACCUGCAGAAGAAGGAGCGGCCAACUAUGUGCCAGCAGCCGCGGUGAUACAUAGGCUUCAAGCGUUGUCCGGAUUUAUUGGGCGUAAAGAGUUCGUAGGCGGUCAAGUAAGUCGGGUGUGAAAAUUCUGGGCUCAACCCAGAGACGCCACCCGAUACUGCUUAACUUGAGUUCGAUAGGGGAGUGGGGAAUUCCUAGUGUAGCGGUGAAAUGCGCAGAUAUUAGGAGGAACACCGGUGGCGAAGGCGCCACUCUGGAUCGAUACUGACGCUGAGGAACGAAAGCAUGGGUAGCAAACAGGAUUAGAUACCCUGGUAGUCCAUGCCGUAAACGGUGGGCACUAGGUNUGGGUUUCUAUUAACGAAAUCCGCGCCGUCGCUAACGCAUUAAGUGCCCGCCUGGGGAAGUCGGUCGCAAGCUAAAACUCAAANANANGCGNGNGAGAGCGACGACGACGACGACGAGGAGAG
rnacentral:rRNA from 1 species